rnacentral:rRNA from 1 species
UACGUAGGAUGCAAGCGUUGUCCGGAUUUAUUGGGCGUAAAGAGCUCGUAGGCGGCUUGUCACGUCGGGUGUGAAAGCCCGGGGCUUAACCCCGGGUCUGCAUUCGAUACGGGCUAGCUAGAGUGUGGUAGGGGAGAUCGGAAUUCCUGGUGUAGCGGUGAAAUGCGCAGAUAUCAGGAGGAACACCGGUGGCGAAGGCGGAUCUCUGGGCCAUUACUGACGCUGAGGAGCGAAAGCGUGGGGAGCGAACAGG